rnacentral:rRNA from 1 species
UACGGAGUGUGCGAGCGUUACUCGGAAUCACUGGGCAUAAAGAGCACGUAGGCGGGGAUGCAUGUCCGUGGUGAAAUCCCCCAGCUCAACUGGGGAACUGCUUCGGAAACUGUGUCUCUUGAGGACGAGAGGGGGAGAGUGGAACUUCUGGUGGAGCGGUGAAAAUGCGUAGAUAUCAGAAGGAACACCGGUGGCGAAAAGCGACUCUCUGGCUCGUUUUCUGACGUGAGGUGCGAAAGCUUGGGUAGCAAACAGG